rnacentral:lncRNA from 1 species
ACAUUCUCAUGCAGGUGUUAGUUGGAUAUAAAGAGCAUUUUGUUACCAAUAUUUAAUCCUGUUACCUUUAAAGUUUUGCUUGAUAUGCAUAUUACUAAAAGUUCUCAUGCUCAUUUUCUAUUAACAGCACAGUAAGAAAAUGCCUGUAUCUCAAGGUCAUAGAAAAGGUGCUUAUUUGGUCUUCAGGAUUCAGGGAAAAAAAGCCCUUACUGUGUCAGCUCUGAUGGGGUCAAAGCCCAAGAGUUAGGUCUUUAAUCUUUUUAAUGAAUUUUGAAUAUUCUUUUUAAAAUGCAAUGUUAUUUCUAUAGGUCAUGCAAGAGGCCAUUUACAUCAGGAAAGCUAUAAAGAAAGAAAGCUAAGGAGAGGCCUUGUGCAGUCAAGUAGAUUCAGAGCUGAGCUAAGCACUGGAACAUGUAGCUUAAAGUUCAUACAAUUAACUUGCAAUAUAAAUAAACAUAAUAAUGCAUGGUCUCCAAACAAAUGGUGCUUCGGACCACUGUUCUAGAGGUUCUAACUCUUCCUUGUUAGCUACAUAUGUUUUCCACAUUGCAAUAUGUCAUAGAGUCUAUAGAAUUUCUACGGAAGAUAAAGGGUUUUAGGCAGGACAGUAGGUGUGGUCAUACAUUAUCAAAAUCAUUCAUGAUGAUGGGUGUGCAACACACAUAUAAGCACAGUUGUCCCAAAUAAAAGACUAUAUUAUUUAUUACUAAAUGAUUUGAAACCUGGGCCGACACCAUUUUUAAUACUUGGAAGUUAAAAAAAUCCCAGGAAGGCAACACUUCCAUGGCCACAACCACCAUCACCACCAGUACAAGCCUCCACUGGCAACAACGGCUGACAUUUACGGAGCAUGAGCUGUGUUCCAAUCACUGCUGGAACCUCUUUACAUUCACUAUAUUCACAUCCUCACAGAUGUCCUAGAAACUAGAUGCUCUGGUCACCACUGUUUAAUAAACAAAGAAACUAUGAUGCCGAGCAAUGAGAAAUCAACAUACAGCUAGUGAAGGCGUGGAGCGCCAUGUCAGUAUCAACCCCAAAAUGCUCCUACUUGGGAACAAGUAAUACAUAUUUUUAUAAUCUCUUCUCACACUUAAUAUUGAUACCCCACUGCCUCUUGAUGGAUUUAGUGUAAAAAAAGUGUUUUGUAAUCAAAUAAUUUUAAGAAACAUCCUAUUUUAUAUUUGCUCUUAGAAAUUCACAGAUCAUUAGGUUACUAAGGCUUAUGUUUCAUAAUUUUAAAAUAAUUUAAUCCCACAUUACCAUACUUAAUUUAUAGAUUUUGAUUUAUUGUAUCUAAAUCUUUUUAUGUCACAUACAAAACAAUGGUAUGAAGAAUUCAUGUCUCGAAUCCAGAGAUAACACCUCAAAAUAUAAUGAAUUAUAGAAUAUGAUGGUCAGCCUAUCAAGAAUAUGAUGGAUUAAAAAAUGAUAGUGCUGAAAGGGUCCAGUUUUAAAGAAUUGUUGAAUGUAUACUGUAUAAUAAAAUCUAAAAGAAAUAAUAAUAUUUUAUAACAGUAAAUAUAGGCAAAAACUUAAAUGUCUGAUGGUUAAUAAAUUGCUGAUUACUACAUUUUAAUUAUGUAACACCCUAAACAUCUAAUGGCCUAAAACAGCAAUGAUUUAUUAUUUUUCAGUGGGCAGGUGUGAGCUACAUGUAAUUACACAUAGUUUCAUGAAACAGUAGAACCCCAUACUCGUCCACAUCCUCUCCUUCUUCUCUCUCUUCCCUCCUACAAGGGUCCUUUCUCACUAUUCAGAAGUUUGGCAUGGACAUUGGCACAGUGGGUGGCAGGUAUUCGAGAGGAAGCUGGGCAGAGCUGAUCUCCCAACCUCCAAGAACAUUGCCUUGGCUGCAAUCUAUUACUCAAGCUUUGUUUACAGACCAGUUGCUCAACUGAGGAAUACAGUGAAAUUGGAAGUCAAUAGCAUUUUGGACUUUUAAAGCAUGCCAACCUUUUUAAAGUAUGAAAAAUAUGCUUGGGGUGGACAUUUCUUCUUACUUCCAUGUGAACUAAGGAUAGAAACACAGAUAAGAAACAUUAGACCUGGACUCCAUGAGAAGUGGAGAAAAAUAUAUAACAAAAACAGGUAUAGAUUUUUAAAAAGCAUGUUGAUCUGUAAUACUAUUCUAUUUGGUGAGUUUGGCUCAUUUAGAGGGUUGAGGAAUAAGCUGUGUAUUAAAUAUGACAAUAUUUGGCAGAUAAAACUGGAAGAGUAGGCCUCAGGGGUGAAGAAAUGUGAAUGAAAUUUAAACCAUAUCUCAGAUCUGGGCUUUUUGUUGUAUGUGAUAUGGAACAGUGUUUUGUUUUUGUUAUUUCUUCUUGAAUGUAGAUAGGUAACCUGAAGACACAACUGCUCAUGCAUUGGUAUAUCUGUGUGUGUGUGUGUGUGUGUGUGUGUGUGUGUGUGGUGUGAGUGUGUGUAUAUAAUGUUGGCAUUAUAGCAGAUUAUAAGUGGAAGAUUAUCUGUUUGAAGCAGAAAUCUAGUUUGAUUUCUAUCUUGUAUAGUUUUUUUAGCAAAUUACUUUUAUUAAACCAGUAUUUAAAGCAUCUAUACAUCUAGAGAUAUAAAUAUUAUAGGGUUUCAACUAAAUAGAAUUCUUCAAGAUUCCAUCAAUAUUUCAUUUUCUCUUUGAAGAUGAGGAGAAAAGUGGGAUUGAGAAAAGGAAAGUUUUGGAAAUGAGCUGUCGUCUGACAGUGGAGCCAAUAGAUAUAGGGUCUAUCUUUAAAAACUAAUUCUUCGGGGCUCUGCUAUGAGCAGCAGGUCCUGACCCUCGGGAAACACCAGCUCUCUGCAGUGAUGGAGUGAAACAGAAACUUAUGGGAACCCAGGGGGAGAGCCGAUCUGUGCAGCCAGGAACAGACUUGAGCUUUUCUGCUUUUACUGCUCACAGCGUCCUGCUGUGUUGACAAUAGGUUCAGAAACAAAUUGCAAAGCUAUCUUUCUUUUUCUUUAAUGUAUUUUUGUAAAGCUGAAGUAGAAAUCGUCUUACACAUUUUGUUUUUUGUAAUUUUCCCUGAUUGGAUAUUGCUUGGGAUGUAAUUAGCACAUUUGAAGAAAAUAAAUGUAGGAAUAUUUCUAAUUUUUUCAUUCGUCAAAGGUUAAUAACUUGGGACAUGUCUAUUAGGAUUUCACAGGGACUUGUCAUUUGGAGUUAUGAUUUAUCACCCAGUUAGAAUAACAGGGACAGAAAAUAAGACAAAAUAUAGAAACAGUGACUAUUUCAACUUAAACUUUAGCAGACUUUUAUUCAGAACAAAUAGCUCACCUUGCAUCAUCCACGAUGGCCACAAGCCUCCAGGAUUAUUAAAACAUGUUUACUACAAGCUAUAUCAUUGGAAAAAUUAAAAUGCUUCCCAAUGUAUUUUCAAAUUCUCAACAUUUAAUUGUGUAAUUCUUUGUGCAAUUUUUUUUAGUUUAAUUGUCACAGGAUGCAGAUGGUAUUAAAAUCUUCCACACUCAGAGUCUAAGGGUCAUUUAGAUACGUUUGAAUCCACUGUAGAUAUUUUCAAUGAAUUGUAAAGAUUAGUCUCCUUGUGUGAGCCUUACAGUGUUACCCCUUCAAGAUGAGAGACACGUGGAUAAAUAUAUCUUUUGUUUUUCCCUUUGGCUUUAUCCUGUGGAUGUAUCACGUUGCUUUGAUAUUAUGUGUCAGUUCCCAGUCUAGGUCACUGCGCUGUCAUUCAGGUUAGCUUAAAAUUGUCUUAGUACAUAAACACGUAAGUACAUACAUGCUCUUUGUUCUAAUAAAAAUACUGUGAAGAGAUGAAGAGAAUGCUCUGUUAUGGUCUGUGGGACAACAAUCCAUAAUUUACUUUUGCAGAUGUCUGUGUAAUUUAAGCAGCAGGCAGAACAACCACACAGUUGUAGCUGCUCUAGGGAAAGGAUACCAAGAGGCUCAUAAAUCACGGGAAGAAUUAAAAGCAAUGAGCAUUCAUCUUCUUAACCUCGUAAGGCAAUAUGGGAAAGCCAAGUUUCAGAACACACAGAGCACAGAAUCUUUGUGCAGGGAUAAGAGGUGUCAGAGAUUUAAUCCUUCUCUCAAUUAGCACUGACCUUUCAUUUGCAAGUCAGCAGAACAUCAUUUUAAGGUUGAUUAAAAGAGACCUCUUCUGCAACAAAUCAAACUGAAUAAGUGAUAAGGUGUUUUUCUGGGCACUAGUAAAUGAACUGAAAUCAUAUGGAAAUGUUAGUCAUUUACUUAAAGCGAACAUGUUUCUUCUUGCAUAAUACAGUAUAUAGAAAAUAACCUUGCAAGUAACCCAUCCAUAAAGGUCAUCACGUUUAAUUGAAUAUUGUUAAUAUAAAUAAAUGUCAUGAGAAAAUACUAACUUCAAAGCAGUCAGUGAAGGGGAUAAAGAUGGCUGGCUCUCCCUAUAACAUUUAGUCAGUAAAUGAUCUGUUACUAAUUGUUUAUAUUUGAAAAAUUAUUCUAAUCAAAGGUCUUUGGAUGCAAAUGAGUAAAUUAAACACAAGGAGGGAAGUUUUAUUUUGUGCAGAAAAUAGAAACUUUAAUCAAAUUUUAAAGCUUUGGAAAACUAAUAAUUUGCUAAUUUUCUCACCAUUCUUUCAAACCAAGUUCAUGAUCAAAGUGAAGUUGCUAAUUUUAUAAAAACGUCAGCAUUGUGCAGAAAAUACUAUAACAACAUUGUGAAGGACAGGUCCUGUUUGGAAAGAUAUAGACAGAUUUCAAUUUCUGAUUCCCCAGUUUAGAGUCACACAUCCCUUGGCAAUUAUUCUUUUUAUGUACCCAAUACCUAAUUAUAUAUUUCAGUCAUGAAGGCCGGUUGUGGGUUAAUCUUGAGUGCCAUGUAAUUGUGUGUAUCGGAGAGAAAGGAGGAGGAGAAGGGAGAAGAGAUGCUUGCAUAUUGUAUACUGUGUGGGAGUAUAACUUGCUUUGCGUUCAUAUUUAAAAAUAAUGUCAGCUGUUAUUUAGAAAGUUACACUGACCUGACUUUGAACGCAGCCUGAGAGACACACCACUUAUUGUAAUUUUGGUUGCUGUGGCACUGAGUGUAUCCUGUGCUACAUCCCUUGAUGGGAAAGAUAACCAUCCUCUUCACCUGGCAGAAACUGCUUCAGCACUCUAACACUACUUUCACUACCACUUUUCCUUCCUGACAAAUGAUGGUUAAGUAUCAUAUGCUUUAGUACAAGCUUGGAUGAUAUUAAAGUUAAUCAGCUUCGUUAUAUUAUGGAUUGUUGCAUUUGGUUGUUUCCUUGUCUGAUUUCUAACAAGAUUGUUCUGAUUUUACCAGGAAAUAGUCCAGAGAAGGCAUUUAGGCAACACAAGGACCCAACUAAGAUUUUUGCCAUAUGAAGUAAAAUUGAGUAAAACAAGUACCUGGAGAAAUUCAGUGUGUAUCUUUUGAAUAAAAAUACAUAAAAUCUCCUUUCAGUUAAUGAUAUUUAGCAAAAAAAUUGGGUCCCAAAAUUCAAUAAAGAGCAGACUAUAAUUUAAAAUGAAUAAACAAUUUAUCUCCAUAUCUCCAUAUAGG